rnacentral:rRNA from 1 species
AACGUAGGAGACAAUCGUUAUCCGGAGUUACUGGGCGUAAAGGGCGUGUAGGCGGUUUGUUAAGUCUGGCGUGAAAGCUCUCGGCUAAACCGGGAGAGGUCGUUGGAUACUGGCAAACUAGAGGACGGUAGAGGCGUGUGGAAUUCCGGGUGUAGUGGUGAAAUGCGUAGAGAUCCGGAGGAACACCAGUGGCGAAGGCGACACGCUGGGCCGUACCUGACGCUAAAGCGCGACAGCAUGGGGAGCAAACGGG